ACUCCUACGGGAGGCAGCAGUGGGGAAUAUUGCACAAUGGGCGCAAGCCUGAUGCAGCCAUGCCGCGUGUGUGAAGAGGACGCUUCGGGUUGUAAAGCACUUUCAGUUGUGAGGAAAGGUUAGUCGCUAAUAUCGGCUAGCUGUGACGUUAGCAACAGAAGAAGCACCGGCUAACUCCGUGCCAGCAGCCGCGGUAAUACGGAGGGUGCGAGCGUUAAUCGGAAUUACUGGGCGUAAAGCGCGUGUAGGUGGCUUGUUAAGCCAGAUGUGAAAGCCGCCCAGGCUGA
rnacentral:rRNA from 1 species